UCAGGAGUUGCUAUCCGAUCACAUUGCUUCCGAAGCAGUCCGUUGUGGAAGAUCUUAAGCUGAAACAACUCUACACAGCUUAUCCAUGUUUGAAAAUGGAUUAUUAAUUAAAUAAAAUCCAACAUAAUGAAGAAACAGAUUAAGGAAAAGGCCCAAAUCGAUAAGGACCCGGCCCAUUCUUCUCCCUCCUUUCAAUUCUAGGGUUUCUGAGUUCUAGAUAGUUCACCGUUCCAACUCCGCUUGUUUAUAAAUACGCGCAGCAAGUGUUACUCUCCCUUUGUGUCUAUCUUGCGCCUCUUCCAUCUGCAUCAAAGGAUUUUGCCUACUUUGUUGUUCUAUUUCCCUUCGGUUCGAUUAGGUCUAUGUACUAAGAUUUGGACCUUCAUUAGUGAUUCUCUUCAAGCUUCAACAAUCAACAAACAUGAAUCAUUACUGAAUAUUAACAACAAUUUGAAAAUCUUUCAAACGAGUGGAUGCACAAAGCUACACAAAGGACAAAUUGGCCUUUAGCCGAGCUGCUACGGCAACACCAAGCAGAAUAUUCAAGACUGCAAAUUUGGAGAACUUUAUUCAAAUAUAACAACUCAAAUUAGGGUUUAAUAAUUGUACUUUCAUAUUUAAUAUUUUGUACAUUAUGGUUAAACUCUUCUUAAGUGAGACAAUUUUUUGUUUACAUUGAAUUGUCUCUUUAUAAUGAAUUAUUGUUUUAGGCUUAUUAGGUACCCUGGGUACCAACA